CCCAAGAGAUCGGGAUAACACCUGGAAACAGAUGCUAAUACCGGAUAACAACAGAUGAUGCCUAUCAACUGUUUAAAAGAUGGUUCUGCUAUCACUCUUGGAUGGACCUGCGGUGCAUUAGCUAGUUGGUAGGGUAACGGCCUACCAAGGCGAUGAUGCAUAGCCGAGUUGAGAGACUGAUCGGCCACAUUGGGACUGAGACACGGCCCAAACUCCUACGGGAGGCAGCAGCU
rnacentral:rRNA from 1 species